rnacentral:rRNA from 1 species
AUUGAACGCUGGCGGCAGGCCUAACACAUGCAAGUCGAGCGAGCGGCGGACGGGUGAGCAAUGUCUGGGAAACUGCCUGAUGGAGUGGUAUAACUACUGGAAACGGUAUCUAAUACCGCAUACCAUCAGAUGUGCCCAGGUGGGAUUAGCUAGUAGGUGGGGUAACGGGUCACCUAGGCGACGAUCCCUAGCUGGUCUGAGAGGAUGACCAGCCAGACUGGAGCGGCGACACGGUCCAGAGUCCUACGGGAGGCAGCAGUGGGGAAUAUUGCACAAUGGGCGCACGCCUGAUGCAGCCAUGCCGCGUGUGUCAAGAAGGCCGUCGGGUUGUAAAGGACUGUCAGCGGGGAGGCGUUACCCGCAGAGGAGGCACCGGCUAACUCCGUGCCAGCAGCCGCGGUAAUAC